CUAAACCUAAACUAAUUCAGCGCCUCAAAUUUCAACUUGCAGCAGCGCUGCACCGCUUCUCUCAUCGUUCUCUCCACCACCGUGCGGUCCAAGCCGCCCCACCCCGCCACAACAGUGUCGCGCCGCUUCUCUCAUCGUUCUCUCCGACUCUGCGCUUGCAAUCCCCUAGAGCAGCUCGAGGCUCAAGCGCCGCAGAUCUGCGCCUCUGACCUCAGAGUUUCAGACGUCUCAACUGUUGUUCCCUACCAUCAUCAUCGGCACAUCAUUCCUUCAAGCUGGUAGGUUCGAUUUUAGCUUUUUAGUGAACCUCAAUAAUUAAAUCCCGUCUUAUGUUGAUGCUUAAUUAUGAGUGUGUUUGCCUUGUCAUUUGAGUAUUUGAAAUUCUGAAUCGAAAUGCAUACAUAAUGAGAUAAUGACAAUUAAAUUCUAAAACGGCUUUUUCCCUUGUAUCAAAACAAGAAUGUAGAAAUUUGAAACACGUGCAGCCGUAUAUGUGUUCGAAUUUUAAUUAUUUUAUCAUUUGUAGUUUGUUUAUAUAUAGUUUGUUUCACAAAUCACAACAGUAUGCGAUUGGUUCUUGACUUCUCUUAGACAUUUAUUUUAUGUCAUAGUUUCAUCUCAUAAUAAUUAUUUGAUUCAGUUCUCCAGUUGGACCAACUCUAGUCUCUUCUCUAAUUUCCAUCUUAGAUUCUUCAGCGUCAAGUUGCAAUGUAAAUUUAUAUUUAAGAUUUCAAAGAUUUUUGUUGCAAUUUAUCUAUCACUAAUCUAAAUACAUUUUUUCUUUGUAGAUGGAUGUAAUUGAAACAUUUGGAGAUACAUCUAAUGAUGCACCUGAAGAUACACCUGGGAUACUUCUCAUGGUGGAGGUGAUGGACCUACCCAAUCCACGCAGCCUAAGAAGAAGAGAAAAGCUAUAGAGAAAAGUUAUAGAGAAAAGGUCAGAGUGUUGGGCUUAUUAUAAGAGUGUUGGGCUCAUUAUAAGACGUUCAUAGAUAGGGCUGUAAACGAGCCAAGCUACUCGUGAGCUAUUCAACAUUCGACUCGAUAAAAGCUCGUUCGAUAAUUUAAUGAACAACUCGUUUAGCUAAACAAGCCAAGCUUGAGCAUGACGAUGCUCGGCUCGUUAGCUCGUGAACAAGCUCGUGAAGUGAUUUAUCUUAAAAACAUAAGAUUAUUCAUUAAAUGUCUUACUAUAUUUUAUACUAUAUGUAGCAAUAUUUGGAUUAAGUAUCUAAUUAACAUCAUUUAUUUACAAGAAAAUAGUAAAUAUACUAUAUUUUUGUGAAUAAAAUAACUUAUAUAUUUGAAAAUUAACUUAUGUAUUAGAAAAAUAACUAAAAUUUUAAAUAAAAAUUUAAAUUUAAAAAGCUCGAUUAGGCUCGGCAUUGUAUUCGACUCGAUUAAAGCUUGAUCGAUAAUUAAUCAAACAGCUCGAUUAGCUAAACGAGCCAAGCUUGAACAAGACAUUAUUCGGCUCGGCUCGACUCGAUUACACCCCUAUUCAUAGAUAAAGAUAAGAAUCAAAAAGCUAAAUGUGUGCACUGUGGGGGUAUAUUUGGUGUUGAUUCUAGGAAUGAAACCACUACACUUAAAAAUCAUUUGGCUAAGUGCAAAAGGUUUUCAAGUGUAGAUAUUAAGCAACCACAAUUGAUUUUACCAUCUGGGCAAAAUUCUUCUCUUAGUAGUUUGAGUUUUAACCAAGAAGAGGUUAGAAAUGCCUUUAAGUUUGUUGAGAGAGAGGGGUUCCAACACUUUGUUUCUAAGGCUUGCCCAAAUUUUCGAAUUCCAUCUAGAUGGACAGUCGCACGUGAUUGCUUUAAAUUGUAUGAGGAUGAAAAAAACUUUCUCAUGGUAUUGCUAAAAUCCACCCAUCAAAGAGUGUGUCUCACUACAGAUACAUGGACUUCUACUUAAAAAGUGAAUUUCAUGUGUUUGACAGCUCAUUAUAUUGACAAUGAUUGAAAAUUGUACAAAAAAAAGUAUCAAUUUUUGUCCAAUUUCUAGUCAUAGGGGUAGAGACAUUGGUUGAGAAAUUGAAAAUUGCUUGCAUGAUUGGGGAAUUGAUAGGGUGUUCAUUGUUACUGUUGAUAAUGCUUCCUCCAAUGAUGUUGCAUUAGUUUAUUUGAAAGAAUGUAUAAGUCAAUGGGGGGAAAACAUUAGAAACUGUAACCACAUGCAUAUGAGAUGCAUUGCUCAUGUAUUCAAUUUAGUGGUGCAAGAUGGUUUGAAAGAGAUUGGGUCUUCUGUGAAGAAAAUUAGAAAUAUUGUGUGAUUUGUUAGACAUUUAGGUGCUAGAAUGAAAGGUUUAAGAAAUGUUGUGAGCUAGAGAAAAUAUCAAGUAAGAGUAUGUUGUCCUUAGAUGUUCCCACUCGAUGGAACUUGACAUACUUGAUGUUGGAGGCUGCAGUUACAUUUGAGAAAACAUUUUCUAGGUAUGAUGUGCUAGACCCCUCAUAUGCAAUUGAUCUUGAAUCUGAUGGUGGGGUGCCCGGUAAGGUUGAUUGGAUGAAAGCAAGGAGGAUGUUGAAUUUUUUAAAGAUCUUUUAUGAGGCAACUUGUAAGAUUUCUAGAUCUUUAUAUGUCACAUCUAACCUUUUUCUUCAUGAGAUUUACAAGGUGCAAAUUUUGUUGCAAGCCUUUAUAGAAGGUAAAGAUGGUGAAUUGAGUAAAAUGACAAAGAACAUGAAAUAAAAGUUUGAUAAGUAUUGGGGAAAUCCGAGGAAGAUGAAUAAGGUGAUAUUCAUGGCUGUUGUUGUUGAUCCUCGAUACAAAUUAAAAUGGGUGAAACUUGUAUUGACCAGUAUGUAUGAUGUUGAGUUGGCUAACUUCAUCGCAAAAAAAGUUGAGGAUGAAUUGGUUGACAUGUGUGGUGAUUACAAACAACCAGUUGUUAUGGAAAAGGUUGAUGAGCAUGGGCAGAUAGAGUUGCCAAAUGCUGAACUUGAGGAUAAUGAUCCGUUAAAAAAUGCAUGGAAGAAGUUCAAGUCCAUAUAUCAAACUUUUCACCAUAAGGAUGGAAAUGAUAUUCAUCAGUUUCUUAAAGAAGAUACCGAAAGUGGUGGGCCAAAAUUUGAUAUCUUAGCAUGGUGAAAAGUGAAUGAAUCUAAAUAUCUCGUACUCUCUCAAGUGGCUCGUGAUAUUCUGGGUGUUUCUAUCUCAACUGUAGCAUCGAAAUCGGCAUUUAGCACGAGAGGACGAGUACUCGAUCCAUUUAGGAGUUCACUAGGUUCUAAAGUUGUGGAGUUUCUUGUUUGUAAUCAAGAUUGGCUUCGCAAGUCCCCUGAUUCGGUUAAUGUUGAGGAAAUUCUUCAAGAUGUUGAAAAAAUGGAAGAAGAUAUUUGAAAGUUUAAACUAAAUCUUUUGAAUGCAUUUAAGUUAUUGUUCAUAAUUAAUUAGUUUAUUUUGUUUGAUAUAACUUUAUUUUUUCUUGUGUAGGUAUGUAAAAGUUAUCAUUGCAAGCUCCAACAAAUCCAACAAAUUAAUCAAUCUCCAUUAUUUGUUGGAACUUGGAAGCUUAGUUAGAGAUGAAUGAUUAUAUUGAGUAUUAUGCUAUGUAAACAUUAAAACAUAGAACUAUUUUGUUAUGUGUUGAUGACAGAUGGAUAUGUUGAACCCUUUUUUUUAUUGUUGGCAGUGAAUGGAUGAAUGAAUGACUCGUUAUUUAGGCUUUUAAUGUGGUUGUAAAUUGUCUAAUUUGUUAGGUGUAUGUAUUUCAG
rnacentral:lncRNA from 1 species